CAUGCAAGUCGAACGGCAGCAGCGGGGCAACCUGGUGGCGAGUGGCGAACGGGUGAGUAAUAUAUCGGAACGUACCCUGGAGUGGGGGAUAACGUAGCGAAAGUUACGCUAAUACCGCAUACGAUCUAAGGAUGAAAGCAGGGGACCGCAAGGCCUUGUGCUCCUGGAGCGGCCGAUAUCUGAUUAGCUAGUUGGUAGGGUAAAAGCCUACCAAGGCAUCGAUCAGUAGCUGGUCUGAGAGGACGACCAGCCACACUGGAACUGAGACACGGUCCAGACUCCUACGGGAGGCAGCAGUGGGGAAUUUUGGACAAUGGGCGCAAGCCUGAUCCAGCAAUGCCGCGUGAGUGAAGAAGGCCUUCGGGUUGUAAAGCUCUUUUGUCAGGGAAGAAACGGUGGGGGCUAAUAUCCUUCGCUAAUGACGGUACCUGAAGAAUAAGCACCGGCUAACUACGUGCCAGCAGCCGCGGUAAUACGUAGGGUGCAAGCGUUAAUCGGAAUUACUGGGCGUAAAGCGUGCGCAGGCGGUUUUGUAAGUUUGUCGUGAAAUCCCCGGGCUCAACCUGGGAAUGGCGAUGAAGACUGCAAGGCUAGAAUCUGGCAGAGGGGGGUAGAAUUCCACGUGUAGCAGUGAAAUGCGUAGAGAUGUGGAGGAACACCGAUGGCGAAGGCAGCCCCCUGGGUCAAGAUUGACGCUCAUGCACGAAAGCGUGGGGAGCAAACAGGAUUAGAUACCCUGGUAGUCCACGCCCUAAACGAUGUCUACUA
rnacentral:rRNA from 1 species